GAAGUACAGAUGUACAAACAAGCAGUGAGUGUACUAAUAAGAGGGGGAGAGGAAGCAGCUAUAAAUAUGGACCUUUUUAAAGAGCAUCUUAUUGGAGUCCUACCAUGAAUUUUUGAGCACCAUGGUUUAAGGGCAGUGGAAAGCUCCUCAGUCGACACUGUCAUGAAGGGGCUGCGCUCAACAAUGCACAAGGUUUAUUACACUCAAAAACAAUGAACUUCGACAGCAAAACAAGAUUCAGGACUCUGUAAAUUGGAAACUAAAUUACGGAAGCCAUGUACUUCCCGAGAUAUUUCCAGGACCCAGCUCACGGCCGAUGGAAACGUUUUACUGAGAGAAUGGCUUUGGUGAACGUAGCUCAAGCCAGGAUGUGGCCUCAGCCUUGCAGAGCGGGAACCUCAGUCUUGUCAAUGCCCUAGAGUUCACCGGUCUGGGGGAGGCUAACUCGCACUCCCAAAUUCAAAAAAGACUGACGAACACGCCAGAAUGGGACAGGGAAAUUUCAGAAGGAGAAAUGAACCUGUUGGAAGGGACUAGAGCUCAUUCUACUUGGCUGGAGAAGCCUCUUCUCUCCCUGUGGGCAGAGGGACAUGGGAACUCAAAUGGAAUUGGGAAACCUUGAUGGGGAGGACGGAAUCUGAUGAUGUGACGGCUCGUGCACUUCAGGUUUCCUAAACGAGGUGAUCCAGUCCUGCUCUGGGAUUAUCCGCCACAGCACCAGGCCCAGGGAAUCCUUUCUGUGCUGCAUGGCCCGUGCACGCCUCUCUCCCUCCACCUGUCCUUGGAUCACCAGCUGCCUAAAGAAGCAUUGCUUUUCUUUUGAUGCAUCCAUUCCUUCCAACAACACAGAGCCAGGUCUGGCUCUGGCCUGUGAGCUGCUUCAUCUCGUUAAGACCAUCUCAAUACCAGACAAUUGUUCUGAGAAACAAAAGUCUUCUUCCAUUAAGAAAUUCACACGUGGAAACAAAACCCAGCAGCGCAGUCCAGGACCAAGCUAUUUGUGGCUUUCCGUCGUAAAGUCUCCUCUUGGUGCCCCGUGACAUCUCAAGACUGUGAAGCUCUUCUUUCCAUCUUACUCGGGAGGUGCCUGUCAGCCCUGGGAGCAUUUGAAAUACACAGCAAUCACUUUUCUCCACGGAAUUAAACUGAAAGGUGUAAGGAACAGAAGAAAAGACUCUGCAACUCAUAUUUAAAAAAAUGGGUGUUGCAAAUACAUGAGAUUUCUAGGCCGGCUCAGCUCCAGAGGCUCAACCGUCUCUUCAACAAGUAGCACCCUAGUACUUCCUGCCUCCUUGUUUAAAACUUGUCCCUGGAGUCCGCCCAAGGGGCCCGCUCUGGUCUUCUCCAAGUUCUCUGUGCCCAUCUUCGUUAGGAUAUACUAGUCAUUUCUUCUUCAAGACUAAUCUUUUCAACCUCGUUCAUUUACUCAUGUUUAUGACAUAUUUAUUCAGCAUCUAAUAUGAGGCUGCAGAGUGCGAGGCUUGGAGGACACCGGGCUGCUCACCAUUACAGACAGACUAAACAUGGCUCCGCCCGACAUGGAGCCUGAAGUUUACUGACGGACGUAGACAAAUAGGCGAGAAUGACAUGGGGGACAAGUACCUUGGUGGAAGUAAAACAGGAGGUAUGGGGACCACAGAGGAGAGGGGAGAUAUGCUGCUAUUUUGAAAAGAGACAGAAAAAUCUCUCUGCCUCUGCUGGUCUCCUCUUCUAGGUGUUUCCAUUGCCUUUCUUCUUUUGCCUGCCUCUGCAGAGCCACAGGCCACAAACCAUCACUGUCCAUCUGGUUGACUCACAGCCACAUAGCCAGUGAGGACCUUUCCUCUCUGGCAAGUCCCUGUUCUGCAUUUUUUUUGCCAAACCAAGCUCCACUCCUAGCCUCCUCCAGUCACCCCGCAACAGAUGACCAAUGGUUUCCUGUUGACAGGAACACAGGGCUGCCGCCUCAGAGGGACAAGGAUUUAGGGUCGUUUUCCCAGGAGUUAGGAUGCCUCAUGCUCCUUGUGACAUAUCUGGGUGAAGGGCUUAGGAGCAGAGCUUUGUGACUGUGGGGAAAAUUCUGUCUCUGAAGCUAACAAGCCUGAGUGGGAAUAAAACCUGCUCCCGAGGCUUCA
rnacentral:lncRNA from 1 species